CUUACACAUGCAAGUCGAACGGCAGCACGGGUGCUUGCACCUGGUGGCGAGUGGCGAACGGGUGAGUAAUACAUCGGAACAUGUCCUGUAGUGGGGGAUAGCCCGGCGAAAGCCGGAUUAAUACCGCAUACGAUCUACGGAUGAAAGCGGGGGACCUUCGGGCCUCGCGCUAUAGGGUUGGCCGAUGGCUGAUUAGCUAGUUGGUGGGGUAAAGGCCUACCAAGGCGACGAUCAGUAGCUGGUCUGAGAGGACGACCAGCCACACUGGGACUGAGACACGGCCCAGACUCCUACGGGAGGCAGCAGUGGGGAAUUUUGGACAAUGGGCGAAAGCCUGAUCCAGCAAUGCCGCGUGUGUGAAGAAGGCCUUCGGGUUGUAAAGCACUUUUGUCCGGAAAGAAAUCCUUGGUUCUAAUAUAGCCGGGGGAUGACGGUACCGGAAGAAUAAGCACCGGCUAACUACGUGCCAGCAGCCGCGGUAAUACGUAGGGUGCGAGCGUUAAUCGGAAUUACUGGGCGUAAAGCGUGCGCAGGCGGUUUGCUAAGACCGAUGUGAAAUCCCCGGGCUCAACCUGGGAACUGCAUUGGUGACUGGCAGGCUAGAGUAUGGCAGAGGGGGGUAGAAUUCCACGUGUAGCAGUGAAAUGCGUAGAGAUGUGGAGGAAUACCGAUGGCGAAGGCAGCCCCCUGGGCCAAUACUGACGCUCAUGCACG
rnacentral:rRNA from 1 species